rnacentral:rRNA from 1 species
GACGAACCGUGCGAACGUUAUUCGGAAUCACUGGGCUUAAAGCGCGUGUAGGCGGGCCGGCACGUCGGAUGCUGAAAGCCCACGGCUCAACCGUGGAGGGUCAUUGGAAACUGGGGGACUUGAGUGCAGAAGAGGAAAGCGGAAUUCCACGUGUAGCGGUGAAAUGCGUAGAGAUGUGGAGGAACACCAGUGGCGAAGGCGGCUUUCUGGUCUGUAACUGACGCUGAGGCGCGAAAGCGUGGGGAGCAAACAGG